rnacentral:tRNA from 1 species
GCGGCGGUGUCGAAACUGGUAAACGAGACGGUCUCAAACACCGUUGGCCGCGAGGCCUUGUGGGUUCGAGUCCCACCCGCCGCA